GGUUUGAUAGUGGGCAACGGAAUCCCAAAAGCAGCUGUUUUCCUCUUAAAGUUCCAGCUGCACUUGGAUUUCGUUCCUUGCUUUCCUACCC
rnacentral:pre_miRNA from 11 species